AUUGAACGCUGGCGGCAGGCCUAACACAUGCCAGUCGAACGGUAACAGGAAGCAGCUUGCUGCUUCGCUGACGAGUGGCGGACGGGUGAGUAAUGUCUGGGAAGCUGCCUGAUGGAGGGGGAUAACUACUGGAAACGGUAGCUAAUACCGCAUAAUGUCGCAAGACCAAAGAGGGGGACCUUCGGGCCUCUUGCCAUCGGAUGUGCCCAGAUGGGAUUAGCUUGUUGGUGGGGUAACGGCUCACCAAGGCGACGAUCCCUAGCUGGUCUGAGAGGAUGACCAGCCACACUGGAACUGAGACACGGUCCAGACUCCUACGGGAGGCAGCAGUGGGGAAUAUUGCACAAUGGGCGCAAGCUUGAUGCAGCCAUGCCGCGUGUAUGAAGAAGGCCUUCGGGUUGUAAAGUACUUUCAGCGGGGAGGAAGGGAGUAAAGUUAAUACCUUUGCUCAUUGACGUUACCCGCAGAAGAAGCACCGGCUAACUCCGUG
rnacentral:rRNA from 1 species